ACAUUUAACUAUCAAACCAUCAGCUCUUAACAGCGUUCAUUGGGGUGUUUGGUUGGAGCGAUAUCUUUGUUAAAUACUAACGCAUGUGUCCUAAGGGCUCACAGAGAACAGAUUUCUCCAGUAGAACAAAAGGCAAAAGCCCGUUGACUUAGAUUUUAUGUGUGAAAACAUACCAUGAAAGUGUGCCUCAUUCAUCAUUGAACACCCAAGAAUUUGGGGCUAGAGGUGCCAGA
rnacentral:ncRNA from 1 species